rnacentral:rRNA from 1 species
AGAGUUUGAUCAUGGCUCAGAGUGAACGCUGGCGGCGUGCUUAACACAUGCAAGUCGAACGAGAACGGUACUAGCUUGCUAGUAUGUCAGCUAAGUGGCGGACGGGUGAGUAAUGUAUAGUUAAUCUGCCCUUCAGAGGGGGAUAACUACUGGAAACGGUAGCUAAUACCCCAUACUCCUUCUAGUGUAAUGCUAGUUGGGAAAUGUCUUUUCGCUGAAGGAUGAGACUAUAUGGUAUCAGGUAGUUGGUAGGGUAAGAGCCUACCAGGCCAAUGACGCCUAGCUGGUCUGAGAGGAUGAUCAGCCACACUGGAACUGAGACACGGUCCAGACUCCUACGGGAGGCAGCAGUGGGGAAUAUUGCACAAUGGGGGAAACCCUGAUGCAGCAACGCCGCGUGGAGGAUGACACAUUUCGGUGCGUAAACUCCUUUUAUAUGGGAAGANA